GACGAACGCUGGCGGCGUGCUUAACACAUGCAAGUCGAACGAUGAAAGCUGGAGCUUGCUCCGGCUGGAUUAGUGGCGAACGGGUGAGUAACACGUGAGCAAUCUGCCCUUGACUCUGGGAUAACUCCGAGAAAUCGGUGCCAAUACCGGAUAUGACCCUUGGCGGCAUCGCUGGGGGUGGAAAGUUUUUCGGUCAAGGAUGAGCUCGCGGCCUAUCAGCGUGUUGGUGAGGUAAUGGCUCACCAAGGCGACGACGGGUAGCCGGCCUGAGAGGGUGACCGGCCACACUGGGACUGUGACACGGCCCAGACUCCUACGGGAGGCAGCAGUGGGGAAUAUUGCACAAUGGGCGCAAGCCUGAUGCAGCAACGCCGCGUGGGGGAUGACGGCCUUCGGGUUGUAAACCUCUUUUAGCAGGGAAGAAGCGAAAGUGACGGUACCUGCAGAAAAAGCACCGGCUAACUACGUGCCAGCCGCCGCGGUAA
rnacentral:rRNA from 1 species